rnacentral:rRNA from 1 species
GACGAACGCUGGCGGCGUGCUUAACACAUGCAAGUCGAACGGAAAGGCCCUGCUUUUGUGUGGUGCUCGCGUGGCGAACGGGUGAGUAACACGUGAGUAACCUUCCCUUUACUUUGGGAUAACUUCAGGCAACUGGUGCUAAUACCGGCUAGGAGCUCCUGCUGCAUGGUGGGGGUUGGACAGUUUCGGCGGUUGGGGAUGGACUCGCGGCUUAUUAGCUUGUUGGUGGGGUAGUGGCUUACCAAGGCUUUGACGGGUAGCCGGCCUGAGAGGGUGACCGGCGACAUGGGGACUGAGAGACGGCGCAGACGCCUACGGGAGGCAGCAGUGGGGAAUAUUGCACAAUGGGGGGAAGUCUGAUGCAGCAACGCUGCGUGCGGGAUGAAGGCCUUCGGGUUGUAAACCGCAUUCGCCUGUGACGAAGCGGGAGUGACGGUAAUGGGUAAAGAAGCACCGGCUAACUACGUG